rnacentral:rRNA from 1 species
GACGAACGCUGGCGGCGUGCUUAACACAUGCAAGUCGAACGGGAUUUAGUAAACGGAAGCCUCGGUGGAAGACUACUAAUGAGAGUGGCGAACGGGUGCGUAACGCGUGAGCAACCUGCCUAUGACAGUGGGAUAGCCUCGGGAAACCGGGAUUAAUACCGCAUAAAAUCGUAGAAACACAUGUAUCAACGGUCAAAGAUUUAUCGGUCAUAGAUGGGCUCGCGUCUGAUUAGCUAGUUGGUGAGAUAACAGCCCACCAAGGCGACGAUCAGUAGACGGUCUGAGAGGAUGAGCGGCCACAUUGAAACUGAGACACGGUCCAAACUACUACACGAUGCAGCAGAGGGGAAUAUUGCACAAUCGGGUGUACGCUGAUGGAGCGACGCCUCGUGAACGAAGAAGGUAUUCGUAUCGUAAAGUUCUGUCCUAUGGUAAUAUAAUGACAGUACCAUAAAAGAAAGCUCCGGCUAAAUACGUG